UCCGAUUCGUGCCACCCACGCCAACCUGAGAUCCGCCUCUGCAGGUAUGAACUCCCCUCCAAUGUCCUCUUCUCCUCCAUCCAUUAUUUCUCUAUUUUGUUCAACUUGUUAGCCAAAGGGUUCAGAUUCUUGCCAUGAUUGAUUGUUAGUCUUUGUACAUGAAUGGAUUAAGAUGUGAUGUGAGACGAGAGCUAGCAACAAAUGUGCUUGUUCUACAUAUAGGUGCACUUCUUUAGUUGGUGCUUGUUAUAAUAUUGAAACCAUGUUACUCUUUACUGCACUAUGACGUGAUGGCCAGAUCGUCGCGAGCCCCUACCCCGACCCCAAGGUUGCUGGCAGUGUCAACCCCGACGGCGAGGUCACCGUCACCCCCAACCUUGACGCCCAGGCCAGCAGAAGGUACAUUUGAUUGCUGGUACAUUUGUUGUCUGAAGGCCCAAAGUUUUUAAAUCUAACUGAAACCAAAGCCUUGUGAUUUAUCCAACUGAAGAUCCAAAGCUUGUAGUUAAAAUGAUAGUUAGGUGGUACAAGGACCGGCAUCAUGUGUACCUCAUUCAUGUGGAUACUAAAAUGUGCUCCCAUCCGCUAUUUUGCUAGGACUUCUUUGUUCUCUUUCUUAAUGGAGUCGUUGAUAAGAUAAUUUUUAUAAUGUUGUAAGACCGUAGAGAACAUAUGUUUCAUAGUUAGUAGAAUUGAGAACAUUGUACAUUGUACAUCUCGUGAUGUUAACAAAGAUGUUCUCAGUUCUCCUUAAUUUGGUCUGCCUAAGCCAUAGAAAAUGUGUCCACUGCCUAAUCAGGUGUUUAGUAAUUCAUUUUUAGAGUGUGGAUUUUGUUUCGUCACGUUAGUAAAACCAGUAGCACCAUGGAUCAUUUUGGUACUGCUAAAAUUUGGUCUUCCAUAAGAGAAUGGUUUGUGAACAACAUUUUAUUUUGAUGGAUCUAUGGAAUUGAUUUUAAAAACAUUGUGGACUUGAACUGUUGUAUGACAGGGUUAGUAUUGGUUGCCUAUUCUCACCAGCCAAAAAAUUGUACAAUGCACUAAUAAAGGGAAAACAUCCGAUCAACAAUCAAGAGUGUCUCGUGACAAAGUUUUGGAUUUGCAUUUGUCACCUACUAUGUAGAGUAUCUAUUUGAAACAUUACAAACCCCAACAUUGGUCUUUCCAUUAACUGUUUCACUAACACCCAGAGUUGGUACUGGUCUUUACAUGAAACAAUGAAGUGUUGAUCGUAUUGUAUAUUGCAGAAGGUAGAUUAAAUGAGGUGACCUACUUUCUCACUACUUAUUUGCCAUUGACUUUCUUAACCAUCAUCCUAUGCCUUCAUGUUUGUUAGGGUUCAUAUUUUGUUGCAUUAACUAAAGCACCGUGUUUUGUUAUUUUACUCCUCUGUUCAUUUUUAUAAGGUGUGGAUGGAAGAGUGACAAUAACUACAGGUUGGUCAAAGAUUGAAAGAAAUUCUCCUUUAAAUUAGGUUGGUCAAAGACAUGUAUGUUUCUUUGGUCUACAGAACGUCAGUUUACUAAUCGUGCUAAACGUUUCCAGGAAUAUGUUGCUUGUUGUUAGUUUACUAAUCUUGCCUUCUUGAUAGUUCCUUGGUCACUGUAGAUGUCUAUUGUUGUAAAAAUGUUGAGAUAUCUUCUCGAGGAAUAUGGUUUUUUUCUUCACUUUCAGGCCAAUGCUACUCAACUUUUCUUUGAGCGACCUUUUCUUUGAGCGACGAGGAAUUUCAACCGUCCUUGGCGAAGGACUACUAUCUGAUUGUCACUAGCCUCCUGUCUAAAUGCUUCGCUUUCAAUAUUUUGUAUUGUCUUGCUGCCUAUGUGCUACUCAAGCCUGAUCUAUUAAACAUUACUUGGCCUAUUCCUUUGUGCCGAGCUUGAUGUGGCUCAAUUGUACUCUAUGAUAUGUAUUUUGAUUGGAAAAUUCACGAGGUUAAAGAUUUGCAUUGUUUUUGGUUUUGAACCGUGCAUUGAUUACAUACUUCAGGGCGUGCUUCUUACUGAUUUAGCAUUACCUGCUUGACAAAAGGUUAGGACCGGCACCCUCGCGCCAAGGCGCGUUGCCGAUCUAGUCAAUAUGAGCGGCACAGCCUCCUCUUCACGGAGCUUGAUGCCUCGGACGAUGAGGCGCUGGAGAUGCCAAAGAGGCACACGCGGACUGCUCCGGCUGGUUCCCAUCGAUCGCCAACAACGAUGAGGCCUAUAGAUCCAGAAGUUAACACUAAAGCAAAUUUAAUUUUCUUAGAAUUGAGUUCUAACAACUUUCUUGAAACCAAUGAUAAGUCACGUGCAAGUACUCUUUCUAUUUUUUU
rnacentral:lncRNA from 1 species